rnacentral:lncRNA from 1 species
UUUUCCUUUUGUUUUCCUCUUUUCAAUAUUCGAACAAUGUCGAGGAGGCAGAAGAACAGUGUUAGGACUCAGACCCAUUGUGCUGAUUUUGUCGCAAUCCAUCUCCAUCUCUAGUGCCAUAGCUAGAUCCACAGUUCUGAAGUAAACAAGAAAAUGAAUAGAUAUUAAAAUGGAAUUCAGCAGACAUAAAUAUCAUAUAGAAAAGCAGAAGUGAUCAAAAAAAUAAAAGGAACAGUGCCAAAAACUUCAGUUCACUAACUAGUAAUGCAAAAACAAACGUAACAGCCGAAGAUUUGUCCUGAAAUUUUGAUUUUAUGCUAUCAAAUACGUCAACAGAGAAAAUGCAGAACGAGGAACAAUACACUACCAAAUAUUUUAUACCAACCAAAACUUCCCACAGCCUACAACAUACAGGAACUCCGUUAACAACAAAUCUUCAUAUGGAGGUAAAAAUCAGAUCUUGACAUGCAGGAGCCUAAUAAAUACUAUGUGGCUCACGGCAGCUACAAGAGAAAUUAUAAAAUUCAAAGCCUAACGAAUUGUAGUACUCUAGUAUAGCACUGGUUCAGAGACCUUAACUUUACCAAAUACCAUUAUUGUUUGAAAAAGCAGGCGCCGCAUAAGUUAAUCCAAACUUUGAGAUCACAAAACUGCAAAAUAAGUGUGAUCUCAUAAAACUGAAACCCUUGAACAAACAAAGAAUCCUAUGAUAAAGUGACAGAUAUAAAGGCUACAAAAAAUAAUUUAAAGAAAAAGAAAAUAACUUUAGUUUCACUUGCAUUCUAAGCUAAACAAAAGAAGAAAAAAUAAAGGGAAAAAAAUGCUUGAGAAAAUAGUCGUAACCCCGCUAGAUCUCAAAGAAGUAAGCUCAAAGACAAACCCAACAAACAGUAAGUGAUCCAAUCAUCAUAAUCUUCAGCCUCUCUUAAACUUAAAGUAUCAAUGGGACAAUAAAUCGACAUCUAUUAGAGACAUAACCGGAACCAUGUUAAAAAAAGAACAAAGUGCGCACUUAACAUGCCAAAAGAAUCAACACAAGUACAGUGAAAAAGCAUAAGCAAACAAAUUUGCUAGGCUUGGACCAAUAGCAAUAAAGCGGCAAAAUGCCUAAUAAGCACAAAAAGGCGAAGCAAGCUUUAGAGAGAGAAUGCAUGCCUGAGGUUAAAAGAAAUUGAGUGAGGGGGUGAGUGAGAGAACUGUGAAGUGAAGAAACAGCACUCUUGUCUCUCUUGCUCACACGAAGAUGAGUUGCAAAAAAGAGACAGAGAACUGAUGAGUUUCUGUUCAUGUCUAGUAAAAAAAAAAAUUCAUCUUGUUCAACUCAUCAUAUGCUGCUACGUUG